AGAACGAACGCUGGCGGCAUGCCUAAUACAUGCAAGUCGAACGAAGGCUUCGGCCUUAGUGGCGCACGGGUGCGUAACGCGUGGGAAUCUGCCCCUUGGUUCGGAAUAACAGUUGGAAACGACUGCUAAUACCGGAUGAUGACGAAAGUCCAAAGAUUUAUCGCCAAGGGAUGAGCCCGCGUAGGAUUAGCUAGUUGGUGAGGUAAAGGCUCACCAAGGCGACGAUCCUUAGCUGGUCUGAGAGGAUGAUCAGCCACACUGGGACUGAGACACGGCCCAGACUCCUACGGGAGGCAGCAGUAGGGAAUAUUGGACAAUGGGCGAAAGCCUGAUCCAGCAAUGCCGCGUGAGUGAUGAAGGCUUAGGUUGUAAAGCUCUUUUACCCGAGAUGAUAAUGACAGUAUCGGAGAAUAAGCCCGCUAACUCCGUGCCAGCAGCCGC
rnacentral:rRNA from 1 species